rnacentral:rRNA from 1 species
UACAGAGGUCUCAAGCGUUGUUCGGAUUCAUUGGGCGUAAAGGGUGCGUAGGUGGCGCGCUAAGUCAGGUGUGAAAUUUCGGAGCUUAACUCCGAAACUGCAUUUGAUACUGGCGUGCUUGAGGACUGGAGAGGAGACUGGAAUUCAUGGUGUAGCAGUGAAAUGCGUAGAGAUCAUGAGGAAGACCAGUGGCGAAGGCGGGUCUCUGGACCAGUACCGACGUUCAGGCACGAAAGCGUGGGGAGCAAACAGG